rnacentral:rRNA from 1 species
UACGUAGGUGGCAAGCGUUAUCCGGAAUUAUUGGGCGUAAAGCGCGCGCAGGCGGUUUCUUAAGUCUGAUGUGAAAGCCCACGGCUUAACCGUGGAGGGUCAUUGGAAACUGGUCGACUUGAGUGCAGAAGAGGGAAGUGGAAUUCCAUGUGUAGCGGUGAAAUGCGUAGAGAUAUGGAGGAACACCAGUGGCGAAGGCGGCUUCCUGGUCUGUAACUGACACUGAGGCGCGAAAGCGUGGGGAGCAAACAGG